rnacentral:rRNA from 1 species
UCAUAUGGAUUCCUACGGGAGGCAGCAGUGAGGAAUAUUGGUCAAUGGGCGCAAGCCUGAACCAGCCAUCCCGCGUGAAGGAUGAAGGCCCUAUGGGUCGUAAACUUCUUUUAUACGCCAAGAAAAUUUCGGACGUGUCCGAAACUGACGGUAGUGUAUGAAUAAGCAUCGGCUAACUCCGUGCCAGCAGCCGCGGUAAUACGGAGGAUGCAAGCGUUAUCCGGAUUCAUUGGGUUUAAAGGGUGCGUAGGCGGCUUUUUAAGUCAGUGGUGAAAUCUUGCCGCUUAACGGUAAAAUUGCCAUUGAUACUGAAAAGCUUGAGUACAUUUGAGGUAAGCGGAAUGUGUAGUGUAGCGGUGAAAUGCUUAGAUAUUACACAGAACACCAAUUGCGAAGGCAGCUUACUAAACUGUUACUGACGCUGAUGCACGAAAGCGUGGGGAGCGAACAGGAUUAGAUACCCUGGUAGUCCACGCCGUAAACGAUGUUCACUCGCUGUUUGCGAUACACAGCAAGCGGCCAAGCGAAAGCAUUAAGUGAACCACCUGGGGAGUACGAUCGCAAGGUUGAAACUCAAAGGAAUUGACGGGGGCCCGCACAAGCGGAGGAACAUGUGGUUUAAUUCGAUGAUACGCGAGGAACCUUACCUGGGCUUAAAUGUAGAGCGACAGAUUGUGAAAGCAGUCCUUCUUCGGACGAUCUACAAGGUGCUGCAUGGUUGUCGUCAGCUCGUGCCGUGAGGUGUCGGGUUAAGUCCCAUAACGAGCGCAACCCUUAUCGUUAGUUGCCAGCGGGUUAAGCCGGGGACUCUAGCGAGACUGCCACCGUAAGGUGUGAGGAAGGUGGGGAUGACGUCAAAUCAGCACGGCCCUUAUGUCCAGGGCUACACACGUGUUACAAUGGCCGAUACAAAGGGCAGCUACCAGGUGACUGGAUGCUAAUCUCUAAAGUCGGUCUCAGUUCGGAUCGAAGUCUGCAACCCGACUUCGUGAAGCUGGAUUCGCUAGUAAUCGCAUAUCAGCCAUGAUGCGGUGAAUAAGUUGCCCGGGCCUUGUACACACCGCA